UAAACAGUCGGAAACGACUGCUAAUACCGCAUAAUGCAGCGGCAUCACAUGAUGAAUAGUUGUUAAAGCGGGGGAGCGGAGCAAUCCGUCCUCGCGCCUGAAGAGAAGCCCGCGGCGGAUUAGCUAGUUGGUGAGGUAAUGGCUCACCAAGGCAUCGAUCCGUAGCCGGCCUGAGAGGGCGGUCGGCCACACUGACACUGAAUAACGGGUCAG
rnacentral:rRNA from 1 species